AUGCUUACCUGGCAGAGGAGAUACCAUGAUCACAGAGGUGGUUUUUCCAGGGCAAGGUUUAUCCAUAGUAUUCCUGAUGUGCUGACCCCUGCCAUUUCCCCAAAUGUGGAAAACUCUGCUGCAUGAUUUGUGGACUGCAUUCGAGCUCUCCCCU
rnacentral:snRNA from 1 species